AUUAAUGUGGCGUGGUGGGUGAAUGUUCUCGUUGUGUCGUGCUCGAGGUGGGGAAGCGUUGGCCUUACAAAUGGAACGAUUGAAUGUGGAGUGGUUAUAUUGCCCUUGCGUGGUGGUUGAUCUUGUUUAUAAUUGUUGCACAUGUUCCUACUCAGGAUCCGUAACAGGUUUGUAUUGGAAGCUUCUCACUUGAAGUCAUGGAGACUGCAUCAGUUGGAACAAGUAUAUCCUAAUUAUGUGGUUUUGGAUUAAUGGUGUAGAUGAGAUGAUUAUUCCAAUUGGGAAGAUGACAAUUGUAUAAAUGUGACCUUGGGGGGGGGUGUCAGGAUUUGGAGGGUUAGCUACAGCCAGUUACCAUUCCAGCCUACUGCCACCAUCUUAUUUUUUUUUUUUGCCAAACUAACUCUAGAUGGUGCUGUAAAUGAGGGAAAGUGGGGGAAAAAAAACAGGGAAGCGGAGGCAAUUUGUUAUAAACUGAUUAGAAGGAAAGACAGUCGAGUCAGUUUGCUGCACCCUUGUCAAUGAGGUUUCUAAGGUUUGUUGCAAUUUGUGUUCAUAGCAAAAGAAAGAUGCUAAUGAAUUGGAUGACCAUAUGUUGACCGUUGUAACUGUCAUGUGUGCUCAUGAUGUAACUGCUCAGUUUUCAUUAUCCUUAUGCAACUAGAUGAUGGAUGUUGAUGUGGUUUUUGUCUUUUUCAAUAAAAGGAGGAAAUAUA